UCUCACUUGUAGCUCUUCUGGUUGUGAGCGCAAUUGGAGUGUGUUUGAACAUCUUCAUUCCAAGAAAAGGAAUAGAUUGGAG